UGGUAAUGCUGGAUGCUCCAACUUGACGCAUGUCUUGGUUGGGGAAAGUGUUUAGUGGCAGUGGGGAGUGGGGUCGCGUCCUAUCAGCUUGUAGGCGGGGUAAUGGCCCACCUAGGCUUCGGACGGGUAGCCGGCCUGAGAGGGCGGACGGCCACAGUUGGGACUGAGAUACGGCCCAGACUCCGUACGGGAGGCAGCAGGUGGGGAAUAUUGCGCAAUGGGGAAAACCCUGACGCAGCGACGCCGCGUGCGGGAUGAAGGCCUUCGGGGUUGUAAACCGCUUUUGAUUGGGGAGCAAGCCUUUUGGGGUGAGUGUACCUUUCGAAUAAGCGCCGGGCUAACUACGUGCCCAGCAGCCGCGGGUAAAUA
rnacentral:rRNA from 1 species